AUGAAGACACUCGCUCUGAUCAUCUGCUCUCUGCUGCUGAUCCUCCACGAGUGUGGAGGACAGAUCAGCAUCACUCAGAGUCCCUCAAUGACAGCAGAACCAGACAAACCCGUCACAAUUACCUGCAGAACCAGCACAAAUGUGUACAGUGACAGUGCUGGAGAUGACUACUUAUUCUGGUAUUUACAGAAACCUGGAGAAGCUCCUAAACUCCUGAUUUAUUUAACAAACCGUCUCCAGUCAGGAACUGCAUCUAGAUUCAGUGGCAGUGGAUCUAACAGUGAUUUCACUCUGAGCAUCAGUGGAGUCCAGACUGAAGAUGCUGGACAUUAUUACUGUCAGAGUUUACACAGUGAUAUAGAGUGGUACAAAAACCUCCAUCAGUCAGUCAGACUCACAGAGACUGAACACAAAUAUCUUGAAGUAAAAACUGAAGUUGAGUUGAGCGUGUCCAUCUAA